CAGCCGCCGCGGUAAUGCGUAGGUGGCAAGCGUUGUCCGGAAUUAUUGGGCGUAAAGGGCUCGCAGGCGGUUUCUUAAGUCUGAUGUGAAAGCCCCCGGCUCAACCGGGGAGGGUCAUUGGAAACUGGGAAACUUGAGUGCAGAAGAGGAGAGUGGAAUUCCACGUGUAGCGGUGAAAUGCGUAGAGAUGUGGAGGAACACCAGUGGCGAAGGCGACUCUCUGGUCUGUAACUGACGCUGAGGAGCGAAGGCGUGGGGAGCGAACAGGAUUAGAUACCCGCGUAGUCCCUGUCUCUUAUAC
rnacentral:rRNA from 1 species